rnacentral:rRNA from 1 species
GAUGAACGCUGGCGGCGUGCCUAAUACAUGCAAGUCGAGCGAACAGACGAGGAGCUUGCUCCUCUGACGUUAGCGGCGGACGGGUGAGUAACACGUGGAUAACCUACCUAUAAUACUGGGAUAACUUCGGGAAACCGGAGCUAAUACCGGAUAAUAUAUUGAACCGCAUGGUUCAAUAGUGAAAGACGGUUUUGCUGUCACUUAUAGAUGUAUCCGCGCCGCAUUAGAUAGUUGGUAAGGUAACGGCUUACCAAGGCAACGAUGCGUAGCCGACCUGAGAGGGGGAUCGGCCACACUGGAACUGAGACACGGUCCAGACUCCUACGGGAGGAAGCAGUAGGGAAUCUUCCGCAAUGGGCGAAAGCCUGACGGAGCAACGCCGCGUGAGUGAUGAAGGUCUUCGGAUCGUAAAACUCUGUUAUUAGGGAAGAACAAAUGUGUAAGUAACUAUGCACGUAUUGACGGUACCUAAUCAGAAAGCCACGGCUAACUACGUG